GUUCCACAGUGGACCUUACUGGUUGCCAACUAUCCGAAUCAUAGGGAAUUCCUGCCCUAUGCAUCUUGGUGAGAGAUUUCGUCUGACAUCAGUGCCUGUCUGAUGGUGGUGGAGUUGGGACAAGUGGUGAUGCUGUCAGAAUUGGCAUGGAGUGUAGACUACUAAAGCUCGUAGUCCGGAGGAAGAGGAGCAGUGGGAGGGGAACUUACCCACGAAUAGAGAGGUGAGACCUCACCACUCUGAGUAGACUUCUACAGACCUGGGAGCUGCAGCUGAAAUUACCUGGAGCCAGAAGGAGAGCUGCCUCAUUCAUAUCCCUUGACUGAAUUCUCAGCUCAAUGCCAUCCCAACUCUGUUCACGUUGGUCACCAUCUCAUCCAGACUCAGCACAUGGAGCCCCAUCCUCAUUCUGGUAGUGAUCUUACUGGGUUCAUCAUGUCCCAUGGGUGCCUAGACAAUGCAAAGACUAAACUGCACUCAUCUCCCUAAUCUUCAACAAGGUCUAAUGGUAUUGAUAAGUUUCAGGUCAACAGCUGGAAAAGAAAAAGGAAAAAUGAGCAAGGAAAUGGAUUGUCCCCUAGAACCUCCAGAAGAAGACUUAGCUUUAUCAACACCUUGAUUCAGCCUUGUGAGAUUCUGAGCAGAAACUAAGCUGAGUUGGCUGGACCUCUGACCUGUGGAAACUGGGACAUAAUAAAUUUGUGUUGUUGAAAGUGGCUGCAUUUGUGGUAAUUUGUUAUGACAGUAACAGAAAAUUAAUAUAGAUAGUUUCUAGUUUAGGAC
rnacentral:lncRNA from 1 species